rnacentral:rRNA from 1 species
GACGUAGGGCGCGAGCGUUGUCCGGAAUUAUUGGGCGUAAAGGGCUCGUAGGCGGUUUGUCGCGUCGGGAGUGAAAACCUUGGGCUUAACUCAGGGCUUGCUUUCGAUACGGGCAGACUAGAGGUAUGCAGGGGAGAACGGAAUUCCUGGUGUAGCGGUGAAAUGCGCAGAUAUCAGGAGGAACACCGGUGGCGAAGGCGGUUCUCUGGGCAUGAUCUGACGCUGAGGAGCGAAAGUGUGGGGAGCAAACAGG